GAUGAACGCUGGCGGCGUGCCUAAUACAUGCCAGUCGAGCGAACAGACGAGGAGCUUGCUCCUCUGACGUUAGCGGCGGACGGGUGAGUAACACGUGGAUAACCUACCUAUAAGACUGGGAUAACUUCGGGAAACCGGAGCUAAUACCGGAUAAUAUAUUGAACCGCAUGGUUCAAUAGUGAAAGACGGUUUUGCUGUCACUUAUAGAUGGAUCCGCGCCGCAUUAGCUAGUUGGUAAGGUAACAGCUUACCAAGGCAACGAUGCGUAGCCGACCUGAGAGGGUGAUCGGCCACACUGGAACGGAGACACGGUCCAGACUCCUACGGGAGGCAGCAGUAGGGAAUCUGCCGCAAUGGGCGAAAGCCUGACGGAGCAACGCCGCGUGAGUUAUGAAGGUCUUCGGAUCGUAAAACUCUGUUAUUAGGGAAGAACAAAUGUGUAAGUAACUAUGCACGUCUUGACGGUACCUAAUCAGAAAGCCACGGCUAACUACGUG
rnacentral:rRNA from 1 species